rnacentral:rRNA from 1 species
UACGGAGGGUGCAAGCGUUGCUCGGAAUUAUUGGGCGUAAAGGGUAGGUAGGUGGUCUUAUUUGUGUGGGGUGAAAGCCUUGGGCUUAACUCAAGAAGUGCCCCGCAAACGGUAAGACUAGAGUCUUGGAGAGGCUAGCGGAAUUCCCGGUGUAGCGGUGAAAUGCGUAGAGAUCGGGAGGAACACCAGAGGCGAAGGCGGCUAGCUGGACAAGCACUGACACUCAACUACGAAAGCGUGGGGAGCAAACAGG